rnacentral:sRNA from 1 species
GCCUGCUUACCUCCCCACUGAGGGCAAAAUGGUGUCUGACAUUGCUAAUGCAUGGAAAGGAUUGGAAUUUGCUGAGAAAGGUUUCGAGGAGUGGUUACUGUCCGAAUUGCAAAGACUUGAGCGCCUUGAUCAUUUGGCUCAGAAGUUCAGACAUCGAUGUCAAAUUCACGAAGAAUGGGCUGAGGGGAAAGAAGAAAUGCUUCAGAGUCAAGACUAUCUUAGAUGUGGACUUAAUCAAUUGAAGGCUAUGAAGAAGAAACAUGAAGCUUUUGAGAGUGACCUAGCAGCUCAUCAAGAUAGAGUUGAACAAAUUGCAGCAAUAGCACAGGAGCUUAACCUUUUAGAAUAUCACGAUGUUCUCACUGUCAACACGAGAUGUCAGAAAAUCUGUGACCAGUGGGAUAGAUUAGGAACUUUAACUGCCCAGAGACGUCAAGGUCUAGAUGAAGCAGAAAAAAUAUUAGAGAAAAUAGAUACCCUUCAUUUGGACUUUGCAAAACGGGCAGCUCCUUUCAACAACUGGUUAGAUGGUGCAAAAGAAGAUUUAUUAGAUAUAUUUAUUGUUCACUCUGUAGAAGAAAUUCAGCAACUUUUAGAAGCACAUGAAACCUUUAAGCAGACCCUGCCUGAAGCAGACAAGGAAUUCAAUGCCAUUAUGGCUCUAGCCUCUGAAGUCCAGAGGCUGGCUAAUCAAGUUGGCUUACAGCUGACAGAUAAUCCCUACACCACAGUUGAUCCUCAGGUACGACAUAGCAAACAAAUGGGCUGACGUGAAGCAUUUAGUGCCAAAACGAGAUGGAACUCUCCAGAAUGAGAUGAUGAAGCAACAGAACAAUAUGCGGCUGAGGAAGCAGUUUGCUGCCAAGGCCAACGUAGUGGGUCCCUGGAUCGAGAACCAGCUGGACGCCGUGGCCUCCAUGGGAAUCCAGACAAAGAGCUCGCUGGAGGAGCAGCUCAAGAAGCUCAGGCAGUACGAGCAGGCUACCACUCAGUACAAGCCCAACAUCGACGAGCUGGAGAGAUAUAACCAGGAGAUUCAAGAGGCUAUGAUCUUUGAAAACCACUACACACAAUACACCAUGGAGACCCUGCGAGUUGGAUGGGAACAACUUCUUACAGCAAUUGCUAGAAACAUCAAUGAAGUUGAAAACCAGAUCUUGACCAGGGAUUCUAAGGGUAUCAGUGAAGACCAAAUGAACGAGUUCCGUGUUUCUUUCAACCAUUUCGAUAAGAACAGGUCACGCCGUCUUGAGCCUAAAGAAUUCAAGGCUUGCCUUGUUAGUUUGGGUUACAACAUCAGAGAUGAUAGACAGGGAGAUGCAGACUUCCAGCGUAUCAUGUCCAUUGUUGACCCCAACAACUCUGGCUAUGUGACCUUUGAAGCCUUCCUUGACUUCAUGACACGCGAAACUGCUGACACAGACACAGCUGAGCAAGUCAUGCAGUCCUUCAAGAUUUUGGCUGGCGACAAGCCAUACAUCACAGCACAGAUUCUCCGACAAGAAUUGCCCCCGGAUCAGGCAGAAUACUGUAUUCAGAGAAUGGCGCCAUAUUCUGGCCGCGACGCUGUCCCUGGUGCUUUAGACUACAUGUCGUUCUCCACGGCUCUUUAUGGUGAAAGUGACCUUUGAACUCCUCUAAUCAACCACCUUGUGUGACUGGUCUUGCAGCAUAGAAGUCGAGAGUGAUAGAUGUAUACAAGGCAACUCUCCAUGAUGAUAAUUUUAUGCGUUGACUGAUACAUUGACAGAUGUACUAGGACUGAAUUUAAUUUUUGUUCCUUUUUUUUUUUUUUUUUUAAUUAAACAUUAUCUUAAUAUGCAAAAACUUUGAAUAUCUUUUUACAUAUGAAUAAGUUUAAGUUAUGAGGUUAUUGUAUGUGCUUUGUGAAGUUGAUAAAUUUUUUUUUACCAGUUUUAUGUUGAACACAACCCUACGCAUGUUGAAAGAUGGGGUUAGGUUGAGAUUCUAUGCUGCAGUGUCCAUGAAAAAUGUUGCAUUCAAAAAAGAAAAAAAAGACAACCUGUAUCCCAUACAGAGUGUCACUAUCACAGAUCUUCCCGAUGGAUUUCUGCUGUCGGAUAUACAGAACGUUGAGCCUAAAUCAAUUGCCCUUCAUAUGUAUAAUCAGGUUUAAACUGUACACAGUAGUGAAAAUUGCAUGCCCAUGAACCUGUGGAACAGAGAAAACAGAUAGCUUAAUCUUCAAAGAGGUUUCAGAGUUCCUUAACUCCAUUUAACAAAUUCUAAACGUCAGUUUAAAGGACAAUAAUAAUAAUGUAUACUAAUUGUAUAUGGAUAAUGAAAUUUAAGGGAAGGGAGGUUCUAGAGAAGUUGGCCUUCAGCACUGCCAGAAUGUGUGCGAGGAUACCCAUGUAUGUAGAUAUUUAUGUAUAUAGAGGCUUGGACUGCGUAACAGUGUUGACAGGUGCCCGCUAGUGACGAGGCUCUAUUGGGGAUGUUUGUAUUGUCCCAGCUGUAUUUAAUUCAGAUUCUUAAUAUUUAAUAUAUGAUCAACAUUUGUGUAGUACAAAGAACAAACUGCAGUCAAUACUGCUCAUUCUAUAUUAUUAAUCUACUCUUUUUUCUCUCAAAGGCUUCAAGAUAUUUUGCAUAUCAUUUUCAGAUUGUUAUACAAUGCUGUAAUAGCCGUAUUAGAUUACAUUUUUAAAGAAUUCCUGUAAAUUUUGUAAACUCAUAACAGUUUAUAAUAAUCUGCAUCAAACAUUCGAUUAUUUUCCACAUGAAAACUGUGCUUGUAUGUUUAGAUCUGCUUGUCUGACUGCUAGAAUCAGUUUGCUUGUCAGUAACUUACCAAUUACUGAUCAAUAAACUUCUACCCAC